rnacentral:pre_miRNA from 1 species
GGGGGGAGGUCAGAAUCUGGGAUGUUUCCUCAGUGCCCCGUGCUCCCGGGUCUGCUCUGUUGGAUUCGUGCUCCCUGCCGGGCAGCCGCCU